rnacentral:lncRNA from 1 species
GUGUAGAAGCUCCUCCGGGACCAGGAGCUGGUGAGGAUGACGGCACUGAUGCUGGAGAUGGUGCUGGCACUGAUGCUGGAGUAGGUGCUGGACCCGCUGGUGUUUUUGGUGCUGGGGCUGGUGUUGCUGCUGCUGGUGUUUUUGCUGGUGCUGGUGCCGAAGUCGGUGGUGCAGGUGUAGUUGACGGUGUUGAUGCUGGCGGAGGUGUGGAUGAGGGUGGAGGUGUGGAUGCUGAUGGAGGUGUUGAUGGUGGCGAUGAUGCUGGUGGAGGGGUGGCUUUAGGAGCUGGAGCUGGAGCUGCACCACCUCCUGAAACGGAGACGGUCAAUUUUUGUCCCAAGGAACAGUGCUGGGCGAAG